rnacentral:lncRNA from 1 species
GGACUUCCUGACAAGGGGGAUUUGGAGCAGAGGCUGUCCUAUUGGCCACGCAGAGCCCUGGAGUCAGGGGGCAGCCUCUGUGGCAGGGAGGGGGCCUGCAGGGGCUUGAGAGUUGCAUCCAGACGGUCCCAGGGCCUGACAGCCAUCCGUACCGGAGAGCUCGGAGGAGACCCCAGAUUCCAGCCAGAGGAGGCCCUGCAGCUGCCCUGCUCCUUGAACCUGGACUCCUGACCACGGGACCUGCAUACACUCCAGGGGAUGCUGACGGGACCUCACAGGGUAUCGCCCUGCUUGGAACUAGGAUUUGGGUUUUGUACCAUCCCACGAGCCACCACUGUGAGUCUCAGAGAGAAGAAAUCAUCUACAGAGACCUUUUUUCUAGCAGACAGCUCCUCUUGUUGUGUAACAGUUUGGUAUCGUCAGUGGAGGAUCCACUUUUCAGCAAAUGCGCACAAACGCAUUCCGUCCACACGGGCCUGCCUGGCUGGCCAUGCUCUGCAGGGCAUGGGUGGGCGUCUGCCUCAGUUUCCCCGUCUGUGACCCCAGGUGCCCUGCCUCACACCAUCACUGGGAGGAGUCCACAGGUUUCUACACGUGAAGUACUUGGAACAGCGACUGGCAGGUAACUCGGCACGUUUAUUGUUAUUAUUGCUAUUUUCAACAAAACCACAACCCACCUCAGCCCCUCUGCUCUGAGAGUCUGUGGAGGUCGGCUGUAUCCGGGGCAGAGGGCCUUGAACCAGAGAGGUUGGCCUUGGGUCAGACUUGACUCGUG